AAACCUUAAGAAUUUAAACGCCCCUUUUCUCAUAUAUUUUGUCUUAAGUCAACAAAACCUCAUAGUCUCCGCCUAAUUAGAACCCCAAACACCUCAUCGGAAAUCAAAUCAUCAUCUUCUCCUCAUCGUAUACCUAUCGUCGCCAUAAUCCAAUCCAUAGAUCUACCACCGGCCAAUCAAGGCAAAUUUUUCAAUACUGGAGGAACUAAACUCACGUAUUUAAGGAGAAAAACGACCUUUUCGAACAUGUAGAGUUUCUUAAAGAGUUCUAAAAUUUUCAAGAAGUUAUAUGGAAGAUUCAGCAUGAUUAUGGUGCGCUCUACUGGUGGCAACAGUUUUCUAAUCAAAGGAAGGACAUAUCCAUGUUUAUGUUUUAAUGCUAACAUUUUCCCAGGACAUGACAUUAUAUAUUCUAGGUUGUAUUUAUCACAUGUCUUUUAUGCUUUUUCAUAUUUAGGUUAUAGAUUUUAAUGUUCAUUAUGUAAAGUUUACAUGUUUUUAUGCUUCUCCAUUUUCCAGGUUGUAAUUAUAUAUAAUAAUCACGGCCUGUAAACAUAACUGCAAUAUAUUUUUUUUUUAACUUUGUUUAGAUUUUGAAAUUAGAACGUGGCUUGAAUCUAGAUCAUGGGGCAGAAAUGUAUGGAGCAAAACCACCAGCAGGAAAACUGCCAAUAACUGCUCUGAACCGCCAUGGGAGCGGUUAUUUUUGUGAGUUUAAACCGACAGGAUUUCAUCUCAGCAAGAUCCAAGGGCUAAGAAUGAUUUUGUAGUUGGUUAGACUUAUUGGGUUUAAUGUAUAUAUAUAAUUAUUAU